GGGCCCGUAGCUCAGCGGUAGAGCAGCGGACUCAUAAUCCGUAGGUCCCAGGUUCGAAUCCUGGCGGGCCCA
rnacentral:tRNA from 1 species